rnacentral:SRP_RNA from 1 species
GCCGGGCAUGGUGGCUCAUGCCUGUAAUCCCAGCACUUUGGGAGGCCAAGGCAGGCGGAUCACUUGAGGUCAGGAGUUCGAGGCCAGCCUGGCCAACAUGGUGAAACCCUGUCUUUA